GGCAGCGUUGUUUGGGAAGGGGCUGGAGCACGAGUCCCAUGAGGAGCGGCUGAGGGAGCUGGGGGUGUUCAGCCUGGAGAAAAGGACACUCAGGGGGGACCUUAUGGCUCUUUAUGAGGUUGUAGCCAGGUGGGGGCCGGCCCUGCCCUCAGGGAACAAGGGACAGGAUGAGAGCACAUCGCCUUGAGCUGCGCCAGGGGAGGGUCAGGCUGGACAUUAAGAGGAAAUUCUUCACAGAAAGGGUGAUUAGGCAUUGCAAUGGGCUGCCCGGGGAGCGUGGAGUCACCUUCCCUCCAGGAUCACUGCUGUCCUUUCUGACACUACUAGCCUUUCUUUCUGCCAAGCAACAGAUGUGAAGUAUGGCAGAUGGAUGGAGACUGUUCUUAAACUCAAAUUAGUAUCCUGCUCACCAUGAAUGACUGUAAUGUAGUUCAAUUUUAUUUUCUUCCUUAUUUCUGCUUAAUGGAAAGGCUAAGAAGCUGUUAGAAUACUGCCACCAGUUUACUGUGUUUUAAGAUUUAAAAUACCUUAAGGUGGGCUUUCCAGCUCUCAAAUAUAUUUCCAUUGCUUUGCAGCCUGCAGGGAUUCCCUUUCAUUUUUUUUUCUAGAUUGUUUCUGCAGUAAGCUGAGCUUCUGCAAGCACUGAACUGGACUGGAAGUUGCUUCUGGCACUGCAGCAAGAGCCAGUCUGUGGCUGUAUCCGAGCCUGUCACUGCUGGCCUGCCAUGUUUUCAGCUGGGCUCUACCACGUCUUGCCCCUGCCCUGCUACGUGUGUGUAGCAUCAUGAUAGCAAAGCCUCUGAUUUUAGGAGAACAAACCCCACAGGAUUAUUUCCAAGCCAUGUUCUGUUAGCUUUUCCAGAUUUCCUAUGCUGGUUUUGCCUUCUGUGUCUGUUCAUAUUUUCUUGUCAUCACAAUACCCAGGAUGAACCAAUUUUUCACAUCCCACCCCCUUCUUUUCACUUUUUCCAGUUUUCUUUCAAGUUUACUCUUCUGUGCAGCCCCCAGCUGGCCUUUAUUACCCUUGGUAGGACAGAAGGAUGAGCAGGGAAAACACCUAGACUGGGAGGCAGGAGAACAGAUGAGAGAGACUGCAUAAGGGGCAGAAUCCAACAAGUUAUGUGGCCCAAAAAAAGCAGGAGGGAGUUUCCUCCUUGUACCACCAAGCCCCACCCUGGAACUUCUCAUGAACUAAAUAAACCACAGUGAACUAUUCAAAAGGCAAAUGUUUAUUAGAUACACUGAACUUUAAAAAACUUUCAGAGAAUUAUGCAAGAAGUAGAUUUAAAUAUAACAGGUGUUACUGCAGUUGUGCUACAUUACAAAAUCACUUUUUUACUGUCAGCACAAUCUGAAGACCUUAUAUGUUGUAUGUGAGAUCCUUACGUUGACUCUGGCACACAGUAAGUGGUCUGAGCUUUCCUGUUCAAAUGUCAUUUGUGCUGCACCAGGCUGUUCUUGAGGGCAAGAUCAGCUCUCCGUGGAACUACAGCUUUUAUAUUUCAGUAAAGAAAGGAACUGGCAAGGAAUAGCAAGAACUGCUGCU